rnacentral:rRNA from 1 species
UACGGGGGGGGUAAGCGUUGUUCGGAAUUACUGGGCGUAAAGGGCUCGUAGGCGUCCAACUAAGUCAGACGUGAAAUCCCUCAGCUUAACUGGGGAACUGCGUCUGAUACUGGAUGGCUUGGAUUCGGGAGAGGAAUGCGGAAUUCCAGGUGUAGCGGUGAAAUGCGUAGAUAUCUGGAGGAACACCGGUGGCGAAGGCGGCAUUCUGGACCGAUAUUGACGCUGAGGAGCGAAAGCCAGGGGAGCAAACGGG